UCCCCCGUGGCGCAAUUGGCUAGCGCGUUCGACUGUUAGUCGGCAGAAAAUCGAGAGGUUGGUGGUUCAAGCCCACCCGGGGGAG
rnacentral:tRNA from 1 species